rnacentral:rRNA from 1 species
GCACAAGCGGUGGAGCAUGUGGUUUAAUUCGACGCAACGCGCAGAACCUUACCAGCCCUUGACAUGUCCAGGACCGGUCGCAGAGAUGUGGCCCUCUCUUCGGAGCCUGGAGCACAGGUGCUGCAUGGCUGUCGUCAGCUCGUGUCGUGAGAUGUUGGGUUAAGUCCCGCAACGAGCGCAACCCCCGUCCUUAGUUGCUACCAUUUAGUUGAGCACUCUAAGGAGACUGCCGGUGAUAAGCCGCGAGGAAGGUGGGGAUGACGUCAAGUCCUCAUGGCCCUUACGGGCUGGGCUACACACGUGCUACAAUGGCGGUGACAAUGGGAUGCGAAGACGCAAGUCCUAGCAAAUCUCAAAAAGCCGUCUCAGUUCGGAUUGGGCUCUGCAACUCGAGCCCAUGAAGUUGGAAUCGCUAGUAAUCGUGGAUCAGCACGCCACGGUGAAUACGUUCCCGGGC